GUAUCUAUAGUUGAAUACAACGCUGAUUUUUCGAGUUGGAAGUUCUGGUUAAAAUCCAGAUGGAUAUA
rnacentral:tRNA from 1 species